rnacentral:lncRNA from 1 species
CGUCCACAACCAGCUUCAAGAUGCUUUGUGGUAACCGUCUGCCCUUUGUCUUUUCCUUUGGCUACAAUAUUGAUGUCUAUCUCGAAAUCAUACAGCCACCCAGCAGAAAAAAACAUUCUAGGAGUAAAUCAUUAACAUAUCUGUCAAACAAUGACGACCCAAACAUGAAACCUUAGACAGUAGCGAUGGAUUUAAUUGGAGUGGGAUAAAAGACUACGCUUGUUCACAAGGCUGCGACCACAGCGCGAUUGAGCAUAAUACGAUAACUAAGCCAAGGGAUCAAAACAAGUAGACUGCAUGCCGUGAUCUUUCAUUUCAGAUUGGGACUCUAAUUAACAGGAAUAAAAAAUCUAACACCAGGUUAAGGGAAAGAGUCUGAAUUGCCUCUAUCACUGGGUGAGAUGAGAUUCUCGUCUCCAUGCUCGUAGAGUAAUACCACGUACCACCAAAAUGAAGAGAUGAAGAAAAGUUCAUCGUUGAGAGAUAUUCUUUCAGGCAAUUUAACAAACAGGUAGAAGGCAAGCAGUUUCAAGUUGCUGACCAUUUCAUAGUAGCAGAGGUUCACAAGGAGAACAGGAAAAACAAGGUCAAAAUCCUAAACAUCAAGAAAUGAAACUAAUAAGAACCUAUAGCGACUUCAUUUCUUCACCCAUCGCAUCACUGGGUGGUGGUAAGCUGUCUAGAAUGGUGGAAUCUCCAGGGACGGUAUCUUCAGGGUGUUGCUGUUGUUGUUGUGGGGGAAGCUGAUUAGGGGGAGACUGUUGUUCGGCGUUCAUGAUCUGCUCCAUGUCUCUAAGCCUCGUCCUCACCACAGUUGUAACCAGUACUGUAAAUUCAAAAACAAAAAGAAAACUUAGCAAGAAAUAGGAGUUUCCCCAAGCAUUUCGUGCAGAAAUCAGGAAAAGAAAAUUUGGAGGGGUAGAAAUUGGGAAAGCACCUGCUGCAGUGCCAAGGGUCCAAAACCAUAGAAUCUUGAGGCCAGGGCUCGUCUCUCUCGGCAUCUUAUGGUACACUUCUUCUUCGUCUUCUUCUAAUCGUGAGAGACAAAGUUCUCCUCCAAGAAAGUAAUAAUAGUAAUAACAAUAAAGCAGUUCCGGCGGCGGGAUGGAAACUCCGGCGGCUACUGCCGACUGAUGGGUAAUGAGAGUGAAGGCUUGGGCCUAACCAUCGAGGUAGAUGGACCUGAUUCGGCAUGCCUCUGGGCCAUAAUAAAACCAGGGUCGUUUCAGCCAUACGUCAUUUUAUCAAAACUCUAAACCG